UUCCGGUCUGAGGCGCUUCGGGAGCCGCGGGCUUCGGGGCAGACAUGGCCAAGUCCAAGAACCACGCCACGCACAACCAGUCAUGAAAAUGGCACAGAAAUGGCAUCAAGAAACGCUGGUCCCAAAGAUACGAAUCUCUUAAGGGGGUAGACCCCAAGUUCCUGAGGAACAUGCACUUUGCCAAGAAGCACAACAAGAAGGGCCUGAAGAUGCAGGCCAACAACGCCAAGCCCAUGCGUGCACGUGCCGAGGCUAUCAAGGCCCUCGUCAAGCCCAAGGAGGUCAAGCCCAAGAUCCUAAAGGGCGGCAGCUGCAAGCUCAAUCGACAUGCCUACAUCGCUCACCCCAAGCUCGGGAAACAUGCUCGUGCCCACAUUGCCAAGGGUCUCAGGCUUUGCCGGCCAAAGUUCAAGGCCAAAGCUCAAGCCAAGGCCCAGGCUUUGGCUGCAACUCCAGCUCCAGCUCCAGCUCCUGCUGCAGCUCGGACUCCCAAAGGUGCUCAGGCCUCCACAAAGGCUCCAGUGUAGAGGCUUCUGUCUGCCAGUGUGAGGACAGAAGGACUGGUAUGACCCCUGGGCUUCUAUCCGCAUGGGAUUGGUGUCCUCCUGUGCUAUUUGUACCAAUAAACCUGCGGCAGGAUCUGUUAAAAAAAAAAAAAAAGAAAAGAAAAGAAAAA